rnacentral:lncRNA from 1 species
GGGCAGGGCCCGGCCAGGGGCCAGCCUGGGCACAGAGGUGGCGGCUCUGUCCCCCAGCUCUGGGCAACCCCGGGCCAGCCCUGCUGGAACCCUUUCUUCAGCUCCCUGGAGGCAGUGGGCCUGCCCCAAGCCUGCUCUGUAAACUCAUUUUGCGUAGGCCCCCUCCUGCGAAGUGUGAGCGCAUCUGCACCUCUGGCGAGAGCGUUCAAGGAGCAGACAUGUGUCCCUCCGCCGUCCUCCAGCCACGGAAUCCACAGCCCUGACCUGGAGCCCGGACCGCCUGCCCCCAAGUCCAGGCUGUGCCUUUGGACAUGUCGUCUGGCCUCAUCUGUCUACUGCACGUGCAGUAGACAGGCCCUCCCUCGGAGUGGUAGUCCCGGGAAGGAUUUUUAUCAUAUUAUUACCGCAAGUCAACUGCGCUCCCGGUCCAGGGCUCCGUCACAGCAGUGCACGAUGGGAAAACCAGGGAUGAAGGUGGCCGGGGCGGGGAGGGGGUGAAGGGUCCCGCCCCGGCCUCACUGCCUCCCCAACUCUGAGGGGAGGAGGCGAGGACCCAGCGGCUUCCCGCCCAGCCAAUGCAGGGCCCCUUGUGGGAGUCAUCUUAGGUCCUCUGGUACCAUCUGGUGGUGAAUUCUGGUGUUACACCCCUUGUGAAGCCCUUGGCCAAAGCCGGGCCCGGGGGUUUGGGGAGGCCUUGGGAGAGAAGGGGUCCAGGCAUUUACCCACUGUGUCCGUUGGCUGAAAAGUCUUAGUCAUCAGUGACUGCAGGGUGCCAGAGCCUGGGACACACAGCUGCAGUGAGCUAUUCUCGUCCUCCAUUUCCUCUUCCUCCUCUUCCUCCUCCUCCUCCUCCUGGAGCAGGGCUUCCUUGGAGGGGAAACAGGGCAUGCAGGUCCCUAAGCAGGUGAUGAGGGCCAGGACCCCCAGCUGCAGCCCCUGGCUCACCCUCCCCAGGUAAACAGGAAGCAGAAGGGGAGGGCUUCGUAAAGGUCAGGAAAGGGGACUACUGCCCACCCCACCCCCACCCCCAUCCAAGUCACAGACCCCAGGACCUGCAGCCACCACCUCCCCCGCCCCUUCCCCACCCCUCCCCCACCCCGGCCGCAGACCUUGACCAGGGCUGAUUUCUGAAGCUGCUUGUACAAACUGAGGAGGUGGUUCCAGGGGGUCAGCCCCGCCUUGGAAGAGGCCAAGCUGGGGUCUCCUGUGGAUAGGGUAGAAGGUCACCGGCAGGGGCACAGCACCUCAGUCAAUCCUUGCAACUACCCUGCCGGACAGGACAGGUGCGACACUCUCACCGCCGUGAGGACGCAAGGGGCCGCUGUCACAUCCCUGGGGGGGGGGGGGGGGGGGGGAUAAGAUGGGUGUGUGCCCAAUAUCCCCACAACCCUUGACCUCAAAGACCUGGAGAAACAGGAGCCGGCCCAGGGGCCUGGGG